rnacentral:hammerhead_ribozyme from 1 species
GCACUGCUGAGGAGUCCCGUGCUAGGACGAAACGUCCGUCCAGUGC